rnacentral:rRNA from 1 species
UGAGGAAUAUUGGUCAAUGGGCGAGAGCCUGAACCAGCCAAGUAGCGUGCAGGAAGACGGCCCUAUGGGUUGUAAACUGCUUUUAUGUGGGGAUAAAGUGCGUGACGUGUCAUGCAUUGCAGGUACCACAUGAAUAAGGACCGACUAAUUCCGUGCCAGCAGCCGCGGUAAUACGGAAGGUCCGGGCGUUAUCCGGAUUUAUUGGGUUUAAAGGGAGCGUAGGCUGUCUAUUAAGCGUGUUGUGAAAUAUACCGGCUCAACCGGUGGCUUGCAGCGCGAACUGGUCGACUUGAGUAUGCAGGAAGUAGGCGGAAUUCAUGGUGUAGCGGUGAAAUGCUUAGAUAUCAUGACGAACUCCGAUUGCGCAGGCAGCUUACUGUAGCAUAACUGACGCUGAUGCUCGAAAGUGCGGGUAUCAAACAGG